AGUCUCUGCUUGGCAGGGGGCCCUGUUGUGCAGCUCUUGUGUCCUCCCUCUUUCAUUGCUCCCCCUUCUCCCUCGUGCCCCGGAGAGCACGGAUUUCACUGUCGGCCUCUCCUGCGCGCUCCGCUGCUGUGGGCUACGGUCAUUGGUCCCAGUCGCCAUCGUCCCUCUGGCGAGCCGCGCCUGAUCCCACUGGGGAGGUCUCCCUGUGCAGACGGGGGUUUGUGGCUGUUACGUUCUCCUUGAGCCCGUGCCAACCCGCGCUCCGUGGCAAUGGCCCGGGGCCCUAGGCUCUGUCUGCCCCGAGUCCCAGCCUGGCCCCGGCAGGCCGCCCUUGCGGCUGCAGCGUGGCUCUGCGCGUACCUCCAACCCCGCCGCCGCUCUAUGAAUGAAGUGACUCAGGGUGCAGAUGCCAGCCGCACAGCGACGCCAGCUGGGGUAGAAACAAUGUAGCGAGGCGGGGUCACCGUGCAGGGCUCGCGAUCGCCAGAGAACACCGCACGCGCCGCCUAUUAUUUAUAAUCCCCGUCUCCCGAGCCAGACCGCGCGCAAGCAGCAGCCUCGCUUUGGCGCGAGGCCUCAAUUCCCAUUGGACACCCACAACGUUCCACUUCUAAGCACGCAGGGAACUAAGGACGCAAACGACUAGACCACGCGCUCCCUUGUCUCGCGCUCUCCCCCAACAAAAGAGGAGGAGGAAGGGGGAUGUGGCGUCGCGCGCUUGAGUCUCGCGCUUUCCCGGGGGUUGACUGGUGGAGCGCGCUGGCUCUCACGCUCUCCCCCUACCGGCACACGCGCGCGCGUUCUGAUUGGCCGCAGCCAACGUUCUUCGGAGACGGUUUAACUGCAGCAGCGAGGUUCAGUGAGAGGAAAACAAAACAAAGGAGCGUAGCGGCGCGGGCGCCGGGAUGCCUCGGCCACCUCUCAGUCCCGAGGGGAGGAGACCCGGGCCUGGCCCCCGGCUCCCCUGAUGACCCUGGGCGCUGCAGCCGCCGCGGGGAAGACACCCCUGAGCCUGGGGAGGGGGAAGGACCCCCCCCGGGCGCGCGCAGAGCCGCCACCUGAGCGGGGCAUGAGGGGCCACUGCCACUAGACCCUCUCCUCGCCCCAGCUGGCAGCGACGGAGGCUGCUCCUUCCCCGUGCCAAGCCAGCCCCCCACAGAGGGAGGGAAGGGGGGCCACAGCUGCGCGGAACCCGCGGGGGUCCGGCCUGGGCAGCGGAGCCGCCGGUUGUGAUUGUUUCUCUUGUGGCAUCUGUGUGGAAAGUGCCACACACACUACAGAACAACAACGGCUUUUGCUUGCAUUUUCCAGUGUUUUUUUUGUCAGCGAGUUCAGCAAAGUUGUAAUUCUUCAAGUGCCAGCCCUGAGCUGAGUGAGGAGCCACCAGCAGAGAUGGUAAAAAUGACAAAAUCAAAAACGUUCCAGGCUUACCUGCCGAACUGUCACCGAACCUACAGCUGUAUCCACUGCAGAGCCCACCUAGCCAAUCAUGAUGAAUUGAUUUCCAAGGCAAGUGAUUUGUUUAGAGACUUCAUGUGGGUUUUUUUAACCAAAAUUGUUGUCAUUGGGUCAGUACUUCCAAUACAUCAGUGGUAUAAAUCUGAUGCAUACUUCAAAGUAUCUUCCCAAGAGCUCCAUUCUUGGGUCAUAGAUGCAUUAUACUGAGGAAUGGAUGUUUUCUAGAAACUUCGUGUAAAGCCCCAUCAUUGCAACCCCCCACAAAUAACAGGUAGGUGCUACUUUUGAGAUGCGCCUGAUCUUUACCAGACCAGGACUAGAUGUGAUAAGUUUGCUAAGGAAGUAAACUGUCUGAGGGAAGUGUAGAGCUCAGGAUUGGGAAAUUAUUCUUGUUAAAUUGAUUCAAAAGAUUCAUCUACUAGAGAGAGGUCACAAAAUUAGCUGGUAUUACACAAUCCAGUGGAUCAACAUGAAGUCCAUCACUACAUUGUCUAAGCCUUUCCUUCUCUCAUUAAUAUAUACCAUCUGGUUAAUUUGUGGAGCUUAAAAAACUGAUUACUCUGAGGAAUGUUCAAGCUCAAGUUUAAAUUUCAUAAAGAAAUUUUGAAGCUUUUGAAAUGAUCUAGCCCUGUCCUUUAUAUCAAUUGUUGAAAGAAACUAAGACUCCAUAAUCAUGUAGUAAAAUUUAAUACCGAGGGAAAAAUAUAAAGUGACGGUGCUUUAAGUCAAAUUAAGUUUCUGAUGGAGCACCCUGUAAAUAUUUUCUAAGGAAAAAAUUCAAUUCAAUUUUCAAACUUUGGGUUGUUGUUUUUUAACGGGUGUAUGUUGGGGUUGGGGGAAAGGAUGGGACUUCCUCUGCUGAUAGUGUCUCUUCAACAGGUAGAGUGGUUGAGCCAGAGAACAUCCUUCUUGAGGCCGUCCCUUAUUUCUUCCCAUCUUCUCUGUCCCCCACCAUCAUCACCCUCUGUUGCUCCUGCCUGCUGGUAUCUUUAGCAGCAUUGAAGUAAUUGAGGUAGUAAUAGCAUUGAGGAGUCCCAGGAAGUAAAGGAGCCACUCCUUUUAAGUACCUUCAGUGUUCCCUAGUCCUCGGCAGAGGCCUGGGGAGUGAAGGAGGUUCCUUGGGCCACACACCCCUCUACCUGCACACUUCUGGCUCCAAACACAAAUGCGAGCAAUAUUGCUUGUAGAUAUCCUCUUGCAGGCCUGCUCUUCUCCUCUUCCAUUCCUCCUGUUCCUCUUCUCUUCUGUCCCCCCCCACCCCGCCCAACACAAAAAAAACACACACACAAAAGAAAGGGUGAGUGAUGUGCCAUGCUAAUGCACAAAGCAGGAAGUGUGACUGAUCAAAUGCAAAACAUUGAAACUGACUAUAUACAAAGUGCUGUCCAAAGCAUACAUUUAUUAAAUUCAGAAAAGAUACAGGCUCUUUAGUUCUAGUAACCAUAAAUAUUGCUUUUAAAAAAAGCUGUAGGAAAAUACAAGCAGAAAUGUGACUCAAAUUUCUUUUAAUCACAAAGAAAAAUAUUAAGGUAAGAAUCACCUUUUCUUCAACAACACUCCAAUAUAAAUUUCAAGAAGGAGACAUGACUUCAUUAUUCAACACGCACUGUAAGUAAGUGGCAGGUUAGAUUUGAAUAAUUGAGGGGGGGAAUGUUUUCCAGAUCUGUGGAGUUACUGGGAAUUGUAUUUCAUACUAAACAAAUGGAGGAGUAUGGCAAACUUUACCAGCAAAGUUCAGAAAGAAAACUAGAACACUGAACUUUCAAGAAAAAAAAUGAGAUCCAUCACAUGUGGUUGGUAUCUACCUUCUCAUCCAGUAGACUUUUCUAGGGUAAUCUAAAUGUGGUGCAACAAGCUCUAUAGUUUGACAGUAUUAAGGUUUACCAUAAUUCCCAGACAAGCAGAUAGGUAUCAGGGUUUUGAAAGAGGUCUUGAUAAUAAGAAUAUCUCUUGAAUAUAUGCUCCAGUUGGAUCAUAGGUUCAUACUACAACUUUAAAUUGUCUAGAAAGGAUUAAAAACCUGAGACCGUAAAAGUUUGAAGAGGGGUUAUUGAGCAUAUGGAGAUUAAAAAAAAAAAAUCUAAGUCCUGUGUGUUCAGAUAAAUUUAGCCUAAGAAAUGUCUUCCAGACAGGAAGGAUUCGGGUAUAUAAUAUAAAGUCUCUUGUUUAAUACUGGUUUCCUAUUCUCCAGUGAAGGUUUCUCUAAACCAAGCUACCAAACUUUUAAAUGUUUGCAGAUUGGCAAGUCAGCAAAAUCACAUUUAUGGUCAACAUUCCCUAAACUCUGAGUUUCCUGCCUUUUUUUAUGUUGUGUGUCAGAUCUAGAAAUGCAUUAAAUUUGAGUUAUUUUUGCUUGUAAAUAAAAAUGUACUUGAUUCUUUGCUGCUUUCUGACAUACUGUACUGCUAUAGUUGGGACCUGGGCAAUAAAGGCAAAUGAAAGGGAAAAUGUUCAAUUAUUUAAAGCUCAGCAUGUGUGAGAGAGAUUUUGUAAGAGUGCAUAGACAAAUAUAAUGUUGUGUGAACACUUCUACAUUUGAGGGGGGGGGUUUCUUUCAGCAUAGAGUAUUAAUUCCUAAUGUGGAAUCUUGUAACCUGUAAGCCUCUACGACACAUAGUGCACCCACUGGGAAAAUGAAGAGUUCACUACUAACUUAAAAAAAACCAACUGUAAUUGUACUGUUAGAAUAUUAACCUUCAAUGCUAUCUUAAAACAGACCAUUAACAUACUUGAAUUAUAUAUUUAGGCACUCUAUUUAGAAUUAUACCCAAGCAUAAUUGGUAGUUGUAACUCUGAAUUUUCUUCUGUCAUUCUUGCAAACUGUCCCUCCUUCCUGGAUCUCCUCUCCAAUGUAGUGCACUCUUAAAACAUGUAUUCAUUAAAAAUAAUGGGAACAUGAAUAUAUCUGGUGUGUGUGGCAACAGUUGAAGAUAUUUAAACAAAAAAAAUACUUCAAAUAAUAAAAGGCAAUCGGGUGAUUCUGUACUCCAGAGACUGUUGGUAUACAUUUGCCAUCUGAAGCAAAAAUAUUUGACUUUGAUUGUAUAGAAUUGCAAUAAAUAAAUAUGCUGUACUGCAGUCUAUGAAUUGUAUUGAAGAAUAGUACUUUGAAAUCCGAAGAAAAGAGUGCAUGACUUAAAAACCAACCAUUAAAAUUGUCACUUCCUCAUUAAUAGAAAACUAAAUGUAAGCUAUCAUUUUAUGAAUACUACUCAGUUGUGGAUAUAACAUGAGAUGUUAGACUGUUUAGAUUAGAAGGAAUAAUGGUUUAACCCUUAUGCUGUCUGCUCCAACAUUUCUUUUCUGAGAACAUAUUUUGAAGUGAUCCAUGGGAAGCAUGUAGAUGUUUGUGCUGUCUUAGCAUGUAUUAAAAAAAGACUGUAAAGGAGACCUUGUAAACCCUCCCCUGCUGGUUUUUUGUAUUGAAAUUUUCUGGUUGUGACUUUCUGUUCUUUCUUAAGUAUUAGAACUCAUGGGAUUAUGAUGUUUCAAGAGACUGAAACAAGGAAAUUGGUGAUGGGGAGAAGAUAAAUCGCUGAACUUUUUUUCCUUUUUUGUUUUGAGACUUAUUUUUAACUUUAGAGAAAAGCUAGCCUAGCAAGAGAUUCUUUCUCCCUGUUGCUUCUGUUCAGGGCUACACAAUCCUACUCCAGAUUGCUUGUUUUCCAAGGCUUCCUCAGUUGAAAACAGGACAAGCGAGACUUGAUAAUCCAAACACAGCACUUUCUAAACUGCUCUGUGGUGCUGGUGGUUCUUGUUUCCAGCAGAGAUAAAUACUUGUUAGAGGAGACUGUGAAAUGUCUUGUCCUUUU